CUCCUAAAAGGUAACGGAGGCGCUCAAAGGUUCCCUCAGAAUGGUUGGAAAUCAUUCAUAGAGUGUAAAGGCAUAAGGGAGCUUGACUGCGAGACCUACAAGUCGAGCAGGGUCGAAAGACGGACUUAGUGAUCCGGUGGUUCCGCAUGGAAGGGCCAUCGCUCAACGGAUAAAAGCUACCCCGGGGAUAACAGGCUUAUCUCCCCCAAGAGUUCACAUCGACGGGGAGGUUUGGCACCUCGAUGUCGG
rnacentral:rRNA from 1 species